rnacentral:misc_RNA from 1 species
GAAAUGCGAUACCUAGUGUGAAUUGCAGCCAUCGUGAAUCAUCGAGUUCUUGAACGCACAUUGCGCCCCCUGGUAUUCCGGGGGGCAUGCCUGUUUGAGCGUCGUUUCUAUCUCACGCAAGUGGAGCUGGCCCGGCCUUGGCCCCGCCGAAAAGAAACGAGGGCGAAGCGAACUAUGUUGUGCGCCGACCCCAGCUAUCAAGCUCGACCUCAAAUCAGGUAGGAAUACCCGCUGAACUUAA